GCCUACGGGGGGCAGCAGGGAAUUUUCGUCAAUGGGCGCAAGCCUGAACGAGCAAUGCCGCGUGAACGAGGAAGGUCUUCGGAUCGUAAAGUUCUGUUGAAGGGGAAAAAGAGCGGAGAGAGGAAAUGCUUUCUGAUUGAUAUUACCCUUCGAGGAAGUCACGGCUAACUACGUGCCAGCAGCCGCGGUAAUACGUAGGUGGCGAGCGUUAUCCGGAAUGAUUGGGCGUAAAGGGUGCGUAGGCGGCCUGCUAAGUCUGGAGUGAAAGGUACCGGCUCAACCGGUACAGGCUCUGGAAACUGGCG
rnacentral:rRNA from 1 species